UACGGAGGGUGCAAGCGUUAUCCGGAUUCACUGGGUUUAAAGGGUGCGUAGGCGGCCCGUUAAGUCGGAUGUGAAAACCCGUGGCUCAACCACGGGCCUGCAUCCGAUACUGGCGGGCUCGAGGCAGGCAGGGGAGAUCGGAAUUCCUGGUGUAGCGGUGAAAUGCGCAGAUAUCAGGAGGAACACCGGUGGCGAAGGCGGAUCUCUGGGCCUGUCCUGACGCUCAGGCGCGAAAGCUAGGGGAGCAAACAGG
rnacentral:rRNA from 1 species